AGCAGCCGCGGUAAUUCCAGCUCCAAUAGCGUAUAUUAAAGUUGUUGCAGUUAAAAAGCUCGUAGUUGAAUUUCGGGAUUUAUCCGUCGGUCGGGCUUUUGGGUCUGUACUGGCGUGAUGGAUUCCUACCUUCUGAAUAACCGGCAUGUCAUUAAUUUGGUGCGCUGGGGAAGCAGGACUGUUACCUUGAAAAAAUUAGAGUGCUUAAAGCAGGCUAUUGCCUGAAUACAUUAGCAUGGAAUAAUGAAAUAGGACGGCAUGGUUCUAUUUUGUUGGUUUCUAGGAUCACCGUAAUGAUUAAUAGGGAUAGUUGGGGGCAUUAGUAUUCAAUUGUCAGAGGUGAAAUUCUUGGAUUUAUUGAAGACUAACUUCUGCGAAAGCAUUUGCCAAGGAUGUUUUCAUUAAUCAAGAACGAAAGUUAGGGGAUCGAAGACGAUCAGAUACCGUCGUAGUCUUAACCAUAAACUAUGCCGACUAGGGAUCGGACGAUGUUAAUUUUUUAAUGACUCG
rnacentral:rRNA from 1 species